ensembl:lncRNA
CUGGCCUGGCCUUGUUUAGUCACUGCCAUUUUCACUUCCAAAUUUCCGAGGGUAAAUUGGGAGACAGCGAUGUGGUGAAAUGCUCAUUAUUAGCCAACUCUCCCUGAGCACUUACUCUGCGCCCUGCACUGUGCUAAGUGCCUUAUAUAAGUUACCUUGUGGAAUCCACACACCAACCCUCUGAGGUAAAGCAGGGGAUGAAGAGUCAAAGCACCAGAAGCACAGCUGUCCUGCCAGCCCCUAAGUCAGCUCCAAGGGUGAGAAAUAGGAUGCAUUUCAGCCCCGAGGAAUGAACUCCUGGGACGUAUGUCUGUCAGGCAGAGUCUGGAGCACUUCCUAGAAAUCUUGACCUGUCGCCGUCAGUGGGGAAGGCUAAUUAAAGGAAAUAAAAGGCUGGUAGCCAGGAGAUUCCAACGUGCUGAGAAAACAAAGGCAGCCAACCUGCGAACUGCGAAGUCAGCUCUCAGCUUUGCCCCUGCCCCGCUCCCUCCACCACCCACCCAAACGCUCGCUCGUUUCUUCACCGGAUUUCCAGAUUUUGCACUACCAACCUACUCUUUGUUUACCCUGAUGGAUCAGCGGAGACAACCUUUGCAUAGGAGGCUAAUGCAGUAACCGAGGCCUCCGAGGCCAGCUCCCUCAACGGCUGGAGCUGUCUCUUCUUCAUCGUGUGUCCGAUGCAGGGCCAGGCAGCUGCCCGUGGUGGUUCAGAGUAAGGACAUGGAAAUGCAAAUGAAAACUACCAGACACGUCUAUUCCUUCAUCAGAAUGACUAACACUAAAAAGACUGACCAUAGCAAGUGUUGGUGAGGAUGUGGAAUGACUAAAACACUCAUACGCUUCUGAUGGGAAUGCAAAAUGAUACAGUACAGCACGUGGGAACACACUUUGGCAGUGUAUUAGAAAGUUAAAUGUGCACUUUACCAUAUGACCCAGCCAUCCACUCCUAGGUCCUUUCAAAAGUGAAAUGAAAACAGAUAUCUACUCAAAGACUUGUACACGAAUGCUCAGAGCAGCAUUAUUCAUGUAAGCCAAAAAGUGGAAGCAACUGAAAUGUCCAUCAAUAGCUGAAUGGAUCAACAAAAUGUGGUCUGUCUAUGCAAUGGAAUUAUAUUUGGCCAUAAAAAAGGAAUGAAGUACUGAUAGAUGUUAUAACGUGUAUGAACCUUGAAAACAUUCUGCCAAGUGAAAGAAGGGAGCGAUGAAAGACCACAUAUUGUAGGACUCCAUUUAGAUGAAAUGUCCAGAAUAGGCAAAUCUAUAGAGACACAAAGUAGAUUCAUGGCUGCCCGGGGCUGGAAGGAGGAAAGAAUGAGGAAUAACCACUAAUGGGUAGGGGCGUUUUUUUUGGGGUGCUGAAAAUGUUCUCAAAUUGAUUGUGGUGAUGCUUGCACAAGUCUGUGAAUAUAUUUUUAAAAAUGCUCAGUUGUAUACUUUAAAAGAGUGAAUUGGAUGGUAUGUGAGUUAUAGCUCAAUAAAGCAGGUACACGCACACGUACAUAGUGGCGAUGAGGACAUGACUCAAGCUUGACGCAAGCAGUCACGCAGCGCGAGGAGUCCCAUAAUUAGGCCUGCAGAUUGAAUCGGGCUGUGGAAUCUUGUUUGGCUGGCAGCGUUUGAAAACAUUAUUUGAUCUCUGUGCCUGUAGGCUGGGC